AUAAGGUCCAUAUAAGGCCACAUCCGCCUGACAGUCUACCUCCGUUUUGGCUACGGGCACCGGACCCGAUCCGCCUCGCCAGCGCGCCUUCAUUCACCGGGUCCGCGACGGACCCUGUACGGAUGCAUACACCGAACGCGCCCUAACGGUUUAUUUCAUCAGUUUUCUCGCUGAUGGAGUGCUGCCGAGUGUGAGACAAAACGGUGGCGUCUGAAGGCUCACUGUCAUUCACAAGUCUGGUUUGGGGGUCUACCCUUGCUCAUCCUGGCCUGCCACCCAAGUAAAAAGAGAAAUAACCACAGGCCUCUGCAACUGCUGUUUCCAGGUCAUUCACAAGUGGCUCCAGUCUGGUUUGGGGGUCUACCCUUGCUCAUCCUGUCCUGCCACCCAAGUAAAAAGAGAAAUAACUACAGGCCUCUGUAACUGCUUUUUCCAGGUCAUUGUCACAAGUCACAAGUGGCUCCAGUCUGGUUUGGGGGGUCUACCCUAGCUCAUCCUGUCCUGCCACCCACACAAAAAGAGAAAUAACUACAGGCCUCUGCAACUGCUGUCUCUAGGAGCGGUACGCAAGUGUCCAGUGACAGCCCAGGCAACGGAUACCGACAUUCACCAAUGUGCUGGCGCAUGACCGAGAAGGGGGGACGUCGCAAACGCCAGUGUGAAGGAGCAAGCUAGAUUCAUUGAUG